rnacentral:misc_RNA from 1 species
GAUAAAGAACGUAGCGAAAUGCGAUACGUAAUGUGAAUUGCAGAAUUCAGUGAAUCAUCGAGUCUUUGAACGCACAUUGCGCCCCCUGGUAUUCCGGGGGGCAUGCCUGUCCGAGCGUCAUUGCUGCCCUCAAGCACGGCUUGUGUGUUGGGCCUCCGUCCUCCUCCCGGGGGACGGGCCCGAAAGGCAGCGGCGGCACCGCGUCCGGUCCUCGAGCGUAUGGGGCUUCGUCACCCGCUCUUGUAGGCCCGGCCGGCGCUUGCCGACACAUCAAUCUUUUUUCCAGGUUGACCUCGGAUCAGGUAGGGAUACCCGCUGAACUUAAGCAUAUCAAUAAGGGAGGA